rnacentral:rRNA from 1 species
UACGUAGGGUGCAAGCGUUAUCCGGAAUUAUUGGGCGUAAAGAGCUCGUAGGCGGUUUGUCGCGUCUGCUGUGAAAACCCGAGGCUCAACCUCGGGCCUGCAGUGGGUACGGGCAGACUAGAGUGCGGUAGGGGAGAUUGGAAUUCCUGGUGUAGCGGUGGAAUGCGCAGAUAUCAGGAGGAACACCGAUGGCGAAGGCAGGUCUCUGGGCCGCAACUGACGCUGAGGAGCGAAAGCAUGGGGAGCGAACAGG